GGCCACACCAAUUUAAUUUCUUGUUCUACGGAUUUUUGGACUCCAAAAAUUGGGGCGAGCGAGCGAUUUGAAAAUUUUAAUAAAAAAAAUAUUUAUUUUGCAAAUUUUUGAGGCGAAGCUUGAAAAGUAAAGGCGAGCGAUUAUAUUUUUUUUUUUGUAAACAUAAAAUAGUAGGUUUUGACAAUAUUAAAACUUGAUUUAUCACUUGUACUUUGACAUUUUUUUAAUUUAUGAAGUAUUUUUCCCUGUUCACCAAAUAAAUAAUUGAAUAAUUAGAUUUGGUAUAUGUAUGUGUGCCAAUUAAUGAGACAAUUCUCCAUCCAAGUCAUAAUCAGGUUGGGAACAACCCCUCAAUUUUAUAAAUAUCCUUUUUAUGAGGGGUCAA
rnacentral:lncRNA from 1 species